rnacentral:rRNA from 1 species
UACGUAGGGGGCUAGCGUUGUCCGGAUUCAUUGGGCGUAAAGAGCUCGUAGGCGGCUUGGCAAGUCGGGUGUGAAAACUCCAGGCUCAACCUGGAGACGCCACCCGAUACUGCCAUGGCUAGAGUCCGGUAGGGGACCACGGAAUUCCUGGUGUAGCGGUGAAAUGCGCAGAUAUCAGGAGGAACACCGGUGGCGAAGGCGGCUUUCUGGACAGUAACUGACGCUGAGGCGCGAAAGCUAGGGGAGCAAACAGG